UCACUCUCUGUUGGGGCUACAUAGUCAGCCAGUGUGGGAGAGCGUUAAGUAAUCCACCCGAGGAGUAUGGCCGCAAGGUUGAAACUCAAAGGAAUUGACGGGGGCCCGCACAAGCGGUGGAACAUGUGGUUUACUUAGAUGAUACGGGAGGAACUUGCCCGGGGUUUAAAGGCAGAUCGUCGUGCAGGGAAGUUGGUAUUCCGUUCGGGGCGGACCCCAAGGUGUUGCAUGGUUGUCGUCAGCUCGCAACGUGAGGUGUCGGGUUAAGUCCCAUAACGAGCGCAAUCCUCAUCUUUAGCUGCCAGAGAGUAAUGUGGGGGACUCUAACGAAAGGGCCGGUGUAAACCGUGAGGAAGGGGGGGACGAGGUCAAAUCAGCACGGGCCUUAUGUUCAGGGCUACACAGGUGUUACAAUGCCCAGUACAGAGGGCAGCCACCAGGCGGAUGGAUGCUAAUCUGCAAAGAAGGUGCCACUUUGGACCGAAGUUCAUAACUUGAGUUCACACAGUUGGAAUCAGUAGUAAUCUCGCAUCAGCCAUGCCACGAUGAAUACGUUCCCGGCCCUUGUACAUCCCCUCUGUCACGCCAUGGUAGGCUGGGGAACGAGAAGUCCGUAACCGAGAGGAUCGACCUAGGCAAAACACACAGACUGGGUCUA
rnacentral:rRNA from 1 species